GACGAACGCUGGCGGCGUGCUUAACACAUGCAAGUCGAACGGAAAGGCCUGCUUUCCCUUGUGGAUUGCGGGUACUCGAGUGGCGAACGGGUGAGUAACACGUGAGUGAUCUGCCCCCAACUUGGGUAUAAGCCUGGGAAACUGGGUCUAAUUCCCGAUAGGACUGCAGGGUGGUGCCUGUGGUGGAAAACGAUUUUCUAGUGGUUGGGGAUGAGCUCGCGGCCUAUCAGCUUGUUGGUGGGGUAAUGGCCUACCAAGGCGGCGACGGGUAGCCGGCCUGGGAGGGUGGACGGCCACAGUGGGACUGAGAUACGGCCCAGACUCAGACGGGAGGCAGCAGUGGGGAAGAUGGCACAAUGGGCGGAAGCCUGAUGCAGCGACGCCGCGUGGGGGAUGACGGCCUUCGGGUUGUAAACUCCUUUCGACCGCGAGGAAGCCACCUGGUUGGAAGGGUGGUGACGGUAGUGGUAGAAGAAGCACCGGCUAACUACGUG
rnacentral:rRNA from 1 species